rnacentral:rRNA from 1 species
GUCGCUACUACCGAUUGAAUGGCUUAGUGAGAUCUCCGGAUUGGCGUUUGGGAGCCGGCAACGGCACCCUUUUGCUGAGAAGCUGAUCAAACUUGGUCAUUUAGAGGAAGUAAAAGUCGUAACAAGGUUUCC